rnacentral:rRNA from 1 species
AGUAACGGCGAGUGAAGCGGCAACAGCUCAAAUUUGAAAUCUGGCCCCCCGGCCCGAGUUGUAAUUUGGAGAGGAUGCUUCUGGCGCGGCGCCGUCCGAGUUCCUUGGAACAGGACGCCACAGAGGGUGAGAGCCCCGUACGGACGGACGCCUAGCCUCUACGAAGCUCCUUCGACGAGUCGAGUAGUUUGGGAAUGCUGCUCAAAAUGGGAGGUAAAUUUCUUCUAAAGCUAAAUACCGGCCAGAGACCGAUAGCGCACAAGUAGAGUGAUCGAAAGAUGAAAAGCACUUUGAAAAGAGGGUUAAAAAGUACGUGAAAUUGUUGAAAGGGAAGCGCCUGUGACCAGACUUGCGCCUCGCGGACCACCCGGCGUUCUCGCCGGUGCACUCUGCGUGGCGCAGGCCAGCAUCGGUUCUCCCAGGGGGACAAAGGCCGCGGGAACGUAGCUCCUUUGGGAGUGUUAUAGCCCGCGGCGGCAUGCCCCUGGGGGGACCGAGGACCGCGCUUCGGCAAGGAUGCUGGCGUAAUGGUCACCAGCGACCCGUCUUGAAACACGGACCAAGGAGUCAAGCAUUGGGGCGAGUGUAUGGGUGCCAAACCCGCACGCGAAAUGAAAGUAAACGCAGGUGAGAGCUUCGGCGCAUCAUCGACCGAUCCUGAUGUCUUCGGAUGGAUUUGAGUAAGAGCCUUACCGCUUGGACCCGAAAGAUGGUGAACUAUGCCUGAAUAGGGUGAAGCCAGAGGAAACUCUGGUGGAGGCUCGCAGCGGUUCUGACGUGCAAAUCGAUCGUCAAAUUUGGGCAUGGGGGCGAAAGACUAAUCGAACCAUCUAGUAGCUGGUUA